AUGUCACAAUCUACACCGCCAAGACCUCAACGUGCACAGCCCCAGCAACAAGGUGCUAGAGUUCGCCGACCCACUGCUACACCAAAUCGCAAACCGGGUGCUAAAACACAAACUCCGAGUGAAGAACCACCCUCUUCUUCUUCUUCUAGCACAUCCUCAAGUGAUCAUGAACUCGAGGAAGCACAGGAGUCGGGUCCUUCUCAAGUG